GGACGACGCUGGCGGCGUGCCUAACACAUGCAAGUCGAACGGGCGAAGGGAGCUUGCUCCCGGAGCUAGUGGCGAACGGGUGAGUAACGCGUGAGCAACCUGCCUUUCAGAGGGGGACAACGGUCGGAAACGACCGCUAAUACCGCAUGAUGCAAUCGGACCGCAUGAUCUGAUUGACCAAAGAUUUAUCGCUGAAAGAUGGGCUCGCGUCUGAUUAGAUAGUUGGUGGGGUAACGGCCUACCAAGUCGACGAUCAGUAGCCGGACUGAGAGGUUGAACGGCCACAUUGGGACUGAGAUACGGCCCAGACUCCUACGGGAGGCAGCAGUGGGGAAUAUUUGGGCAAUGGGGGAAACCCUGACCCAGCAACGCCGCGUGAAGGAAGAAGGCUUUCGGGUUGUAAACUUCUUUUACCGAGGACGAAGAACGUGACGGUACUCGGAGAAAAAGCCACGGCUAACUACGUGCCAGCCGCGGC
rnacentral:rRNA from 1 species